GGAGCAUUGGUAUAAGAAGAAUACCUUCUUAAAGGCUUAUAGUCAUUUCAUCCAACCAAUUCCAAAUAUAAAGAUGUGGCCUGAAACUAACAAUCCAACGAUUGAAUCUUCUGAACCUAAAUCAAUGCCUGACAGACCGCAAGAAAUAGAAGAAAGGGCAAAGAUAAACCAAGAAAGAAGUAUGGGAAAAUGCCCAAACAAGGGGUGAAAUAGACUUGUUCCAUGUGUAAACAACAAGGUCAUAACAAGAGAUAUUACAAGGUUACUGGUCAAAGUUCAAAAAUAGCUAACAAUGAUUCACAAUUUACUGGUCAAAGCUCACAAAAAAGUAGCCAACCUGAACCAAAAAGCUCCAGCCAACCUGAACCAACAACAUUCAGCCAACCUGCAUCAACGACAUCAAGCAAGCAUGCUUCUUCAACAACAGUUUGUGCUAAUACAAGUAGAGUUGAAAGGGUGAAUUAAUCUGCAAGCUCUAGCCAACCACCAUCAUAUUUAGAUAUAAGUAUUCCUGUUACAAGAGGAAUAACAAGUCAACUACUUCCGAGGAGAAAAAAGAUUAUUGGAUAAAAGAGAAGAGGAGUUGCAACUGGAGAAGAUUCUGCAAGAGGGGGCCAAAGAAGCCAACUAAUGAUGGAUCAAGUAAUGUUGAAUUUGGCAUCUUCACAAGUGCAAGUGAAACCCAAAUACUCAAUCCAAGGACUUCAAGUCAAAGAAUUCUACCAACAGGUUCAAAUUUUAAGAAUGCAAGUUCAACAUGCAUAGACCUUGGUUUUAAGCCUAAAGGCUUGAGAUGGAAAAACAGAGAUGCUGUUCACUAUCUCUCAGUUGCAGCAAAUGGUAAACAAAAAGAAAAAGUAACAGCAGCACCAACUUUGAAUACUUUUUUCUAUGUAAUGUAAUCACCAAAAAAUUGUUAUUUUUGCUUUAUUCUGGUACUA